UACGGAGGGUGCGAGCGUUAUUCGGAAUAACUGGGCGUAAAGGGCACGCAGGCGGGCUUUUAAGUGAGGUGUGAAAUCCCCGGGCUGAACCUGGGAAUAGCAUUUCAGACUGGGAGUCUAGAGUACUUUAGGGAGGGGGAGAAUUCCACGUGUAGCGGUGAAAUGCGUAGAGAUGGGGAGGAAUACCGAAGGCGAAGGCAGCCCCUUGGGAAUGUACUGACGCUCAUGUGCGAAAGCGUGGGGAGCAAACGGG
rnacentral:rRNA from 1 species